rnacentral:lncRNA from 1 species
AGAAAGCUUUCCUGCUCUUUGUGGAAAUUUAGGAUUAUUCCUAAAUGUUAAGGCAGUGGAUCUCUUCCCUCAUUGCACAUAAGAAUCCCCCGGGGAGUUUUAAAAUUUGUCUGAAGUCUAGAACCCUCACCUAAGAUUCUGAUCUGAUGGGUCUAAGGUGAAGCCUGCAUGACAGGGUAUUUUUGUGGUUCCCAGAUGCAGUACAUUCCUUGUUAACCAGGGGAGGACAUGAUGAAGGAGUCUGGAGCAUCUGCAGGAGUGAUGAUGACAGAUCGGGAAGCUGCGUGCACCUCGGGUAUAAAGGCUACGACAUGAUUUUGCGUGGGACACAGAUGCAACCCACGCCUGCAGACAGAGCAGCCCCCAAAGAAAAGACUGGGAAUUCCUGCUGGAGGAAUCCCUGACCUGAACCGGAGAAGAGAAAUACAAACUUGGAAGCAAAUGUCCCCCACUCCUGACAGCCAAAGCCACAAGACUUCAGCCUAACACCGAGUCAGCUGUACAGCUCACAGCAAGUCUUCGAACCCUGAGCCAAAGUGCCAGCCAGUGAACGAACUCCAUGAGAAUCUAGCAAGCAGCACCUCCGCUGUCCACGGUGCUGAACCCCUCCCACCAUUUGCCCCUGGGACAGGAACAGGUUCAAGAAGCCCACGUGAAGGAAAUUAAAACUGCCCUGAAACCUAGGUCCCCAUCAGGAAGGCGAAUACCACUAAAUCAAGAUCUAGUUAAACUGUUGUUGUCUGAGGUCAUCUGGUUUGGCUUCAGGUCCACCGAUCAAGGAGAAAGGAAAUAACGUUGAACACCUGGACAGGCAAUGUGCUUGACACUUUGGGUACGUUAUUUAUCUUAAUAUUUAAAAUAACCAGCAGGGGUAGGCACUGUUAUCUUCAUUUUACUGAUGAGGAAGUAGGGGCACUCAUGCUUUGGCUAAGCUCCUACAGCUAUUAAGUGGUGGAGCCAGGCCCCAAACACAGAGGUGCUUAUUCCCAAAGCUGGAACUGAUGACGUUAGACCCACACACCCCUAAGGCCUGGGCUGACGGCUCUUUGUUAGGCAGCUGUUGACAUUUGGGCAGGUCACCAGAUUUUUUUCUCCCUGGGACAUUUAAAAUUUCAAGUCUUUGAGACCCUGAAACCAUUUCAAAACCCGUCAUUGCCCUCAAAAAAUACACACUACACCCAC